GACGAACGCUGGCGGCGUGCUUAACACAUGCAAGUCGAACGGAAAGGCCCUGCUUGCAGGGUGCUCGAGUGGCGAACGGGUGAGUAACACGUGGGUGAUCUGCCCCUUACUUUGGGAUAAGCCUGGGAAACUGGGUCUAAUACUGGAUAGGACCAUGCUGUGGGUGGUGUGGUGGAAAGAUUAGUUUCGGUAAGGGAUGAGCUCGCGGCCUAUCAGCUUGUUGGUGGGGUAAUGGCCUACCAAGGCGUCGACGGGUAGCCGGCCUGAGAGGGUGGACGGCCACAUUGGGACUGAGAUACGGCCCAGACUCCUACGGGAGGCAGCAGUGGGGAAUAUUGCACAAUGGGCGCAAGCCUGAUGCAGCGACGCCGCGUGGGGGAUGACGGCCUUCGGGUUGUAAACUCCUUUCAGCCAUGACGAAGCCCUUGUGGUGACGGUAGUGGUAGAAGAAGCACCGGCUAACUACGUG
rnacentral:rRNA from 1 species